UCCUAUUCCCUCUACUGUAUCUUCGCUUCUCUGUUCUGCCUCCUGGAGUGAACCCUGAUAUUUUCUUAGCCUAAAUUAAAUCUUAUUCUUUCCAUACUCACUUCCCGUUCGUUGUGUUGUUCAUUCAUUCACUGACACAUUCAUUUACCAGAUUUUCCACCUUUUUUUGGAGCUUUGGAUCUAAAAGGCUAUACAUUAUGGGAACUCAACAGGGGUUUGUGGAAUGCAACUGCAUAAACCAGGAAAGCCUCUCUCAGAUGAGCAUUUUCACGUCCGUAGCUGAAUUUGAUACACCAGAAAGAUGUGGGGACUGUCAUCUGGAGCAACACUGAGUGAGACUCACCAACGGAUCCCUGAUCAGUCAGCCGGGAACGAUGACAAGACCUCACAGGUACUCACUGGGAUCCCGAAUGAGAGAUCAAUCAGAUCUGAGUGAUGGCAUUAUACCUGCUAAAGAAAAAACUUAUUAAUGAUACCUGUUAAAGAUGGAUCAGGCCUUAUUCCUGACAUUUGAGCAUUACUGUGCACAAUCUUGACCCUCUCCUGAG